AUGGUCAAUGUGCCUAAAACCAGAAGAGCUUUCUGUAAGAAGUGUGGCAAGCAUCAGCCUUACAAAGUGCCCCAGUAUAAGGGCAAGGAUUCCUCCUAUGCCCAGGGGAAGAUGCGCUGUGAUCAGAAGCAGAGUGGUUACGGUGGGCAGACAAAACUGAUUUUCUGGAAGAAGGCUGAAACUACCCAGAUGAUUGUGCUAAGGCUGGAAUGUAGGGAGCCUAACUGCAGAUCCAAGGGGAUGCUAGCCAUUCAGAAAUGCAAACUUUUU
rnacentral:lncRNA from 1 species